AGAGUUUGAUCCUGGCUCAGGAUGAACGCUGGCGGCGUGCCUAAUACAUGCAAGUCGAACGGAGGCAGCAAUGCCUUAGUGGCGACCGGGUGCGUAACACGUAGCUGACCUGCCCCUCAGCGGGGGACAACUGUUGGAAACGACAGCUAAUACCGCAUGUGGUUGGAGGAACUAGAACACUCCACCCAAACUUACGGGGCUGAGGGAGGGGGCUGCGGCCCAUCAGGUAGUUGGUGAGGUAACGGCUCACCAAGCCAACGACGGGUAGGGGGCCUGAGAGGGUGGUCCCCCACACUGGGACUGACAACGGCCCAGACUCCUACGGGAGGCAGCAGUAAGGGAUAUUGCGCAAUGGGCGAAAGCCUGACGCAGCAACGCCGCGUGGAGGAAGAAGGCCUUCGGGUCGUAAACUCGUUUUUGACGCCGACGAGCAAGGACGGUAAGCGUCGAAUAAGUCACGGCUAACUACGUGCCAGCAGCCGCGGUAAAACGUAGGUGGCGAGCGUUAUCCGGAUUUACUGGGCGUAAAGGGUGUGCAGGCGGGUCGUCAAGUGGUGUAUGAAACCGCCCGGCUUAACCGGGCGCAGGUAGGCCUGACUGACGACCUAGAGGACGAGAGAGGGGCGUGGAAUUCCGGGUGUAGUGGUGAAAUGCGUAGAGAUCCGGAAGAACCCCAGAGGCGAAGGCGGCGCCCUGGCUCGUCCCUGACGCUCAGACACGACAGCAUGGGGAGCGAACGGGAUUAGAAACCCCGGUAGUCCAUGCCGUAAACGAUGCCAACUAGGCGCUGACGGUCUCAACCCCGCCGGUGCCGCAGCUAACGCGUUAAGUUGGCCGCCUGGGGAGUACGGUCGCAAGGCUAAAACUCAAAGGAAUUGACGGGGGCCCGCACAAGCAGCGGAGCGUGUGGUUUAAUUCGAGGCUACACGAAGAACCUUACCUGGGUUUGACAUGGCUGUGCACGACGGUGAAAGCCGAAGGGUCGCAAGACACAGUCACAGGUGCUGCAUGGCUGUCGUCAGCUCGUGCCGUGAGGUGUUAGGUUUAGUCCUGUAACGAGCGCAACCCCUGGGUCCAGUUACAUGUGUCUGGACCGACUGCCCGUGACAAGCGGGAGGAAGGUGGGGAUGACGUCAAGUCAGCAUGGCCUUUAUAUCCAGGGCUACACACACGCUACAAUGGCCGGUACAAUGGGUCGCCAAGCCGCAAGGCGGAGCCAAUCCAGUCAAAGCCGGUCACAGUUCGGAUUGUGGGCUGCAACCCGCCCACAUGAAGUCGGAGUUGCUAGUAACCGCCGGUCAGCUAUACGGCGGUGAAUACGUUCCCGGGCCUUGUACACACCGCCCGUCACGUCAUGGGAGCUGGUCACGCCUGAAGUCAGUGGGCUAACCGCAAGGACGCCGCUGUCCAAGGCAGGGCCGGUGACUGGGACGAAGUCGUAACAAGGUA
rnacentral:rRNA from 1 species